AACGAACGCUGGCGGCAUGCCUAACACAUGCAAGUCGAACGAGACCUUCGGGUCUAGUGGCGCACGGGUGCGUACCGCGUGGGAAGCUGCCCUUAGGUUCGGAAUAACUCCCCGAAAGGGGUGCUAAUGCCGGAUAAUGUCUUCGGACCAAAGAUUUGUCGCCUUUGGAUGGGCCCGGGUUGGUUUAGCUAGUUGGUAGGGUAAAAGCCUACCAAGGCGACGAUGCAUAGCUGGUCUGAGAGGAUGAUCAGCCACACUGGGACUGAGACACGGCCCAGACUCCUACGGGAGGCAGCAGUGGGGAAUAUAGGACAAUGGGCGAAAGCCUGAUCCAGCAAUGCCGCGUAAGUGAUGAAGGCCGUAGGGUUGUAAAGCUCUUUUACCCGGGAUGAUAAUGACAGUACCGGGAGAAUAAGCACCGGCUAACUCCGUG
rnacentral:rRNA from 1 species